rnacentral:lncRNA from 1 species
UUCCAUUUCACUUUAGUAUAGCUGCAAACAAUAGUCUGUAGUAGGAUCAAAUAGUAGGAUUUUAUCACCUGUUCUACAUUACUAUCACCGUCCUUUGUCUUGUUAAUUUUGGCAUAAAAAAACUUAGACAAUGAUAUUAAAAUGUUUUUUGUUGGACCAAAAUUUGAUCUCAUUUCACACCUGGGCAAAGUAAGCUAAAAGUAAAUUUUUUUAUUCGCUAGUAGCUACAAGUGUCAGACUGGAAACAGAAUGUAGUUAACUGGUUUCAGAUUCCCUUCUACCCUUAACCAUGAGCCAGGUUUGAGGAGAAUGUGUUCCUGUUAAGCAAAUCCUGAAUGCCCCAUAAAAAAAGCCAAGUUUAGAUUGGAUAUGAUCUUCCUCUGAAGAGUCCAAAGGCUUUUAUGGUGGUGGCUGAAACAAGAUAAAUCUCAGCAAUUUUGGCUUUGGAAAGAACAACACUGUUAGAUUUAUCUUUUCUUUUGAUUUCAGCUCCCACCCAACUGUAGACAUCACGCUGAACCAUGGGAAUGACCUGGGCAUGGACAAGUCACAGGCAAACUGUCUGGAUGUUCCCUGGAUCAGGGCUAGCAGAAGAUCAAGCACAACUGGAGAAACUCUCCGCUGUGGGGAUUUGUGACUUGCGGGUCACUUCCCUUUGCAUUUGACACCAUGUAUGUCCCUCUGGCAACCGAGCGAACAACUUACCAUGUGGUAGUAUCAGGAAAGGAUUGGUUAUAGCUUUCUUCUAAUGUCGUUUAAUGGCUAAAAAUGAAGAACUGCGCAUUGGCACAUACUCCAGCCAGCAGAGCCAUGAGUAUUGCUGGUGCUCUAUUUGGCUAAAAUCUUGCCACCAACCUGAGUUGCUGGUGUGGGAUGGAAGGACUCCUUGCCCAAGGGGCACAGAAAGGUUACAGAGCUACAAACCUGAAGGUUAGACCCAACCCUUGCAAAUUUUGCAUGAGGUGAAGAAAACCAAGGAAGUCAACAGACUGUCCACCUGCUAAAACUGGUGCUGCAGUCUGCCCCUAAGAGAGCUGUCAAGGAAAGCAGCCCCAUAUCUCCUGGGGAAUGAAACAUCUCUGCUGUGGCUCUUCAAACUCUGCCCUCACCCCUGCCUUCCCGCCCAGGGAAAUGCCACUUGCUGUAUGUACCCAGGAACCACGACAACGUUGGAGAAAGAG